UCCCUGGUGGUCCAGUGGCUAAGACUCCUCAUUCUGAAUGCAGGAGGCCCAGGUAUGAUUCCUGGUCAGGGAA
rnacentral:tRNA from 1 species